GAUAUAUACAUAAUCUGUCGCCAAAUAUCAGCGGAACAGAGUUUCCGGAUAACCAAUCUGUUUUGUUCAAUGCUUCAUCAGCCAAUCUUGAUCAAUUCUUCAUCAGCCAGACUUGUAAGAAUUAAUAUGAGAAGGAUGCAGUUCAAUUUCUUAACAAGCCAAUCUUACAUGUAAGCAAAUAUAAACGCUGUAGAAAAUAUGCUCUGGAUCAGUGCUCAUAUGGUACCGUCUUGGCUGAUGAAGCAUUGAACGAAACAGAUUGGUUAUCCGGAAACUCUGUUCCGGUGAUAUUUGGUGACAGGUUACGUAUACAGU